CAAUGGUCUGGUGUUUGUUGAUAGAAUUCAUAAGCGUCUACUAAUGUAAACUAUUACAGUUUGUAGAAAAUUAUUUAUUUAUUUUUUUGAAACAGAGCAAAAGGUCUAAUUAAGUCCAAAAACUAAAAUAUAUUCACAUCAAUUACAUCUAAAUAAUUGAGUAUGGCAACCAUACUAUUUAUACGAAUAUUGCAUAUAUCGAACAACUAGGGACGCGCACGAUACCGAAAAGCCAGUAUCGAAUCGAAUAAAAUAUCGUCAUUGAACUACACGUAUUCAAUGACAUCAGUUUAAUUUCAGUAGAAAAAACAUAUAAACUAAUAUUUAUGACGAAUUAAUAUAAUUAUUUUGAAAUAUAUAUAAAAUAUUUUGAUUUUCAAACAAGUAAUAGUAAUUAAUUUAAAUGCAAUAGGUACACCUAUUUAAUUUAAAUUACUUAUUUCUAAUCAUGACAAAAUACUGCUAAAGUUCACUCUCACUUAGCGGCAUUUUACAUUUAAGUAAUAAAAUAAAGAAAAUAUAAUAGUCAAACAUGUUAAUAACAAUUAUUACCAAAAGUAAGCCAUAUGAUAUAUUUUAAUAAUCAAAGGAAAGGAACAAGUGUUUACAAAGGUAUUUAUUGUUUAAGUAUGUUCGACAUGAUUUUAAAUAAAGGUAAAACGUAAGUAAAUAUAGUAAGUAAUUUCCUGAAGAUUACUUAUUGAUUACAAAAAUAACAGUAUCGAAAGGAGAUCGAUAAUCAUUAAUCGAUACUAUAAAGUAUCGAUACUUUUACGUGUUCCUAUCUGUGGAAUUCAUAGUCGUAGUAGGGGGCCCCUAAGGGGAUUAUUCAGCCGCUAUGUGUCGAAUUCAACCCCUACGCGUUUCAUAGACAAAAGAAACCCCUCAUUUGACAGGAGCUGGCGGCUGACUGCUGAAUUACCGAUAACUGUCAGCCAAACCGUCCCCUGGUACUUUUUUUUGUUGUUAUUCGUGAUUUAUUUAUUAAAAAGUGGACUUGGAAAGUGUUAAGACUGUGUAUAAACAGCGAGUUAUAUCAGUAUCCAAGAUAAAUAUUCGCAAUUGCGUAAAUCCAGUUUAAUACUAUGGCGAUAUGGAAUGUACGAAAGAUUCUCAUAUUAGGCAUAAUAUGCCUCUGUUUGAUGAAGAAUGAACACAGAAGACCCAAGAGAGGAAUACCAAUACCGCUAUUAUUAUGCAUUCUAGCAGCACUUCGAUUCUAUGUAACGGGAUGUUUCCAGACUGUAUUUGCAGUCCAUCAAGCAUUCUAUGAAAUAACAGAAAUGCCACAAGUCAAGCUGUAUUGAUGGCACGCAUAGGUAUACAUAUAAACAACCCCGGAGGACCCUAUGCACAGAUUUAAAGAAACCGGCUAUCAUGGCAGGGAAUAGCAGUGAUGAGCUCUGAGAAUACUGUUUUACCAAGAAUACUGAGAAUACUUUGGUCCUUGAAAAUCUGAGUUUUCAGAUCACAGUAAUUGGAAGACCCACAUACCUUGAAAAGUCAGCAGCAUUUAAUAUCGAGGUAGUAGAAGUGAGUGCAGUAUGUUGUAAGGUGGUCACUCACUCUGAAGUCCAUAACAAUAGAAAAUGUAUACAAAUCUUAAUUGAAUGAAAUUUAUUGAUUCACAUCUUUAAUAAAGAUAAUUAUUAAAUGUUUA